UUAGGUUAAGUUAUGAAGGGCGCAUGGUGAAUGCCUUGGUACUAGGAGCCGAUGAAGGACGGGACUAACACCGAUAUGCUUCGGGGAGCGGUAAGUACGCUUUGAUCCGGAGAUUUCCGAAUGGGGCAACCCAAUCAGCUUAGUCGCUGAUUACUUGACUAGUGAAUACAUAGCUAGCAAGAGGUAGACGCAGUGAACUGAAACAUCUUAGUAGCUGCAGGAAGAGAAAGAAACAUCGAUUCCCUGAGUAGCGGCGAGCGAAAAGGGAAGAGCCCAAACCAACAAGCUUGCUUGUUGGGGUUGUAGGA
rnacentral:rRNA from 1 species